AAUAUUACCAGUCAAGACUGAUGCUGCAGGUGAGUGGUAUAAUGUCUUAAUCAUAGAAAUGAAAUGUUCACCGAAGCCGAAACAUUGCAGAACUGCCCACACUCUAGCCUGUCAAAGGCCUUUUCUGCAUCAAGUGAAAAAACCGCACAAGGGCUCGGAUGAGAGUCUGCAAAGUCAAGAAUAUGAAAGAGUCGACACAUAUUGUCAGACGCAUUGCGCCCCUUGAUAAAACCGGUUUGGUCCUCCUUGAUCAAACUAUGAAUUACCUUUUCCAUUCGAGAAGCAAAAACUUUAGCAUAGAUUUUUAGAUCACAUGGGAUAAGUGAUAUCGGUCUGUAGCUGGAACAAUCUUAAUGGAUAAUGGAUCUUUCCCUUUUUUAAGAAGUAAUGAUAUCAAUGAUGUUUUUUGAUCUCUAUGAAAUACACCAUUGUCCAAAUAUAAUUCAGGGGGGAGACCAUCUAGACCCGGCAAUUUGCCCUUUUGAAGGCUUUUUAGAGAGACGUGGAGCUCCUCCAAACGCAAUGGGGCCUCCAAAGAUUCUUUAUCCAUCUGUGAGAUCCGAGGCAAUUCCAAUUUAUCUAAAUACUGCUUACAAAUUGGUUCAUCAAAAUAUGUUUCGGCUUUAUACGGAAAGAGGAAUAUUGCAUAACACAGCAGAAUGAUCAGAUAAUAAAAUUGGUAUAUAGAGAUGGAGGAAUUAGACGAAAUUAAAGAUGGGCUGAGAAAUAUGUUGUCUAUCUAAGUCUGUCUAGAAAAGUAUGUCUAGAAAAAAAAGUGAAGUCCUUAGAUUUAGUAUUCUGAAUUCUCCAAAGAUCGAUUAAGUUGAGCUCAGUGAUAAAUUUAUUCAGUUGUAUCAGAUUGAGAUUUAUCCAAAGCAGGAUUUACGACAGCAUUAAAAUCACCACCCACCACUAAUGGGCAAUCAUUCUGCUCAAGUAGUGUUUUGGAAAUAUUUGUAAAGAAUUCACUGUCUGUCUCAUUCUGACCGUAAAUAGAGACCAAUGCUAACCUAUUAUUAUGUAUUUUGCAACGGAUAAAAACAAAUCUACCCUCCUCAUCACUUCCGAGGUGUUCAAUUGUUAAAUGUAACUUCCUGUUAACAAGGAUAAGUACCCGCUUAGUUUUAUUAAGAGCCCAGGAGAAGGCUGCCAAUUUAUAAUACUUAUUCUGGAAACGUGCCACGUCAGAUUGCUUUAAAUGUGUCUCUUGUAUCAGUGCACAGGAAAUAUUCUAAUACACGAGUACGUUUCACAGCAGAAUUUAGGCCAUUCACAUUCAAUGAUAAAAUAUUUAGAGUAUGCAUAAUCCCAAAACUGUAUUCAGUAAAUAAAGAAAAGCAAAAGCACUCCCAUUCUGUAAGUAACAUGUAAACGCUGGUGUGCAUUCUAGAUACCAAACCACCUAGAUGAAAAAUCCUUUUAGAAAUAAAGGUAAAAUAAAUAAAAGUAUGAAUGUCUGUUGUAAAAAAUAAAAGCAACACAGAAACAGGAACGAUAAACAACUAUAAACAAGAAACAACUCAGACCGCACAUUACCGAGAACGUAGGUCUGAUAGAGCAACAAAAAAUGGUCAUGAUGUGUGACCGGUCCACUUCAACGCAAGGCAUGUCCCCAAAAGGCCCACAUAGUCAAAAAUUAUUGUAAUUGAACCUACUCUCCAUUAGACCCCUCCAAAAAAAGGGUGUUAGUCUUAAAAAAAAAAAAAAAAAAAGAA